GACAGUUGUUGCUCCGUGAGAUUUCUGGAAGAAUGACUGAAGAAGUCUCAGCAUCAUGUGUUACAGGUGGGAAGAUUUGCAACUAAUUGGCUUAUGUGUGAAAUGUCUACAUAUCCAGGGAGAAUUUUAUUUAUAUGUAAGGAAAUGAGUUAUUUACAGGUGAGAAUUGUUUAGGAGUACCUCCAUUUCUUGGAAGUUGAGUUUAUCAUAUAGCAUUGUAUUUCCUUUUUUUUUUUUCAAUGUGGUAGGAAUCCCAAAUUGGGUCCAAGCUCUGUUCACCACUGGAGAUCAGACUCCCUGGACAAUAUACAGUGAACCUGCUGGGAAGGUCUGCCAGAAGCUGGCCAGCACAAUGACGGUUGCGCCUCCAAGGCAGGUUCUUUACCACUAGGACCACCUGGAAAGCCCUAUUUCAAAGACAUUAACCACCCAAGGAAAUAAGCAGUGGAGC
rnacentral:lncRNA from 1 species